AUGAUAAAAGGAAUUUCCAACAAAACGACGGCCAAUAAAAGCUUUGAACACCUCAGAGUCAAUAUUUAUUCAUACAGGAACUUUAGAAUGCAAAACAACUGCAGAUCUUUUGAAGAACGCUCCAACGUUUAUUGCCACGUUUCUGUAUUUUUUAAGUAUAUCUAAAAUUAGUUUUUUUGGAGUGUAUAUAAGGAAUGUCGUAUCACCGAUUGUACAAGCAGGUCUCACUGGAGAACAAGAAGACUGCAGCAGAACAACAACAACAAAGGAUUCAUUGUUCAACAGCUAAAGCUUCCCUAAAACAAGAUGCUUUCCUGGAUUCAGCUACUUGGUGUUUUCUCGCUUGCCCUGGUUGCUGCAAUGGCGAACAAAGCUUCCCUUGCAACGGUGAACGACGAAUUUAACUUCAUGCAGGAUGCAGCUGAUACAGAAGAUUAUCUUACUGAAGUCAGUCUGGAUGAGAGUCCCGGCUUCAACAUUACCAUUCCACGCUCGUCCAUUUUAGCAGCCAAAAAAUUUAGUGUCACCAUCCCUUUGCUUCUGAGCGGAAAUGGUGUCAACACAUUUUACAGGCACUGUUACUGUUUUAGACGAUUGGCUUCUGUUCCAAACGCUCGUAAUGGUUUCCGUGGAUGGCGUGUUCUUAACCUGGUUGGCUACGUUGUGUCUGGGCAAACCUUGUAUGUGUUCUAUCGCUGUGACACACGCACCGUUUAGUCAACUGUGACUUGCCAAGACCGCUCCGACUUAUAUGAGCCACCAAAGGAUAAACCACUUAACAGGUCCUUAAUGACAGUGAUAUCUAUGUAAAAAAGCCUUUGAUUUGGAGUUUAUAAGAUAUAAUUGAUUACGUUAAAGUAUAACCUUAGAUGUGAAAAUAAUUCAUUGGCUUUUGUAAGUUCCUUUUUGUUUAAAGUAAAGCUUAAUGUUGCUAGAUUUUAACAAACGAUUGCUUGAAUAUUCAGUGAUCCAUUGAUUGUUUUGUUAUUGUUUUGCUUGCUUCCAGGACCCAGGGGCUGUCUACUGUCUAAGCAUGAUAAUAAAAGUCGUACAUGUGAAAUUCCGGUGGAAGAGGGGUACUUCAAUGUUAAACGGGCAGGGAUCCUCCGGGAGAGAAAAAUGGCCUUGCCUUGGAACAUGUACUUGUAAUGAAUAUCAAGUCGGGCGUCUGAUCCCGUAGGGGGUGCUACCUUAUAUGGGCCAUAUAGGUAUGCAUAUGUGCGGCCCCAAAUGCUAUCGCGUUUUAGCCGUUUUGAUCGGAAAUGGGGUAUCGAUUUGGGUCAUUUUAUUCUCAAAUAGGGUAUGAAUUUUCCACUCUUGUCUUGAAUUCGGUAUUUUAGAAGAAGCAACUUUUUCAUCACUAUCGAUAAUACCAUCAACAAAAGCCCUUCACAAUGCCUUUAACAUCGGUCUGAAUUAGAAUGGAAUAGAAUAGAACAGAAAUCCUUUAUUUGAACACGAUAAGUUUUAAAGCUAACAGCUUGCAAUUGUGGGGUCGUGUAUAAAACAAAAGAAAGACCUAAUAACAAUGUAUUAAUAGGUAAAAAUUAAAAACUUCUGACCUUAUAAGAACCUGAUCUAUAUUAACAAUAUUUACACGUCAGAAAACGUUCAAAUAUAAAUAAAAUUGUCAUCACGAUGCCGCACAGUUGAGGCGGACACUACGUUGAAUUUAAAAUCUUUAAAGUAACGUUUUGUUUGAGUUAGGGAACUAAUUAUAAGAAACGGGAUAUUGAUUUAAGUGUCAGGUCUUAAAUAGGGCAUCGAAUGUUUGGUCAGGUGAUAAAUAGGCAAGGGAAAAUCACAGAUUUUGGUCUUAAAUAGGGUAAAGAUUUUGGGAAGCGGACAGCACACCCCAUCCGAUUUUUCUGGGAGUACCCCCUCCCCGGUCGUCUGACCCGUACCUGCUCGAAGGUAAGGCCAUUUUUCUAUUGCAGAGGAUCCCCGUCCGUUUCUUUUUCCUUAGCAGUUACUGGUAUCUAUCCUCAUCUUUUAUUUAAAACGAGGGAAGAAAUCUCACCAGUAAAAAUUAUAAGUAUUACUCAGAGCCUGUUGGGAGGCGCGGUGGCCUCUUGUUUAGUGCGCUGGUCUCCGGAUAGAGCGGUUCUUGGGCAAGACUCUUUACUCUCAGAGUGCCUCUCUCCACCCAGGUGUAUAAAUGGU